AAAUGAUGCAGUUGCAUUUCCCACUUUUUUGGGAAAAAUCACCGGGGUCAGCACAUCUGGAGUGCAAUGGAUAAACCUUGCUCUGGAAAGACCACCUUUCUGACCAUGGUAUUUCCCUUGCCAGGAAGAAUAAAUACCCUGGGAUUCAGUUUCCCCCUGUGGGGCUGUGGAUGGUCCGCUCACAAGAUAUUCUUUGCUACUCCAAAGUGAAAAAGAUAGUCUUCACUAUUCUCUUUUAAAAGCUGCAUGGUGUUGCCUCUCAUUUUUAGGUCUUGAAUUGAUUUUUGAUCGUGAUGUGAGAAAGGAUCCAGUUCCAUUUCUUUCCGUAUGAUUAUCUGAUGAUCUUAGCCUGUUUAUUGAAAAGCCUGUCCUUUCUCCCCUGUAGUUACACCUACGCCAUAAAUAAAAUGUCCCAUGAAGUCUCUGAUAUGCACCAAAAGUCCAUUAAAGUUACGCUCUGGAGACACUACACUUUUUAAUUAUUGUACUAUAGCUUUCAAAACCUAUCUUGAUAUUUGAUAAAACAAGUUCUUCUACAUUUCAUGCCCUCCCUC